UCUUGAAAAGUAGCUUUUUCGCCGGCGAACCUAGUUUCUCAUUUUUGUAUAUUUACUCAGCUACAAAAGCGUGAGUUUUGUUUUAGAUGCACAGAUUGGACUAUAUUACUUCCCUCAACUCUUACUUAGUAAGUCAACAAUUAACCUCUAAGCAAACAGUGCUAAACGGGCAACUGAUUUCUCAAGAAGAAGAAGCGUACAAGCAACAGAUAAUCACUCUUACCGAUGGAAAUUCACAAAGCGUUCCCUUGGGAAUGACUGGUGCCGAGUAUCACCUAUACACGUCAGGGGUUGUAGAAGAGGACCUAGGCGAGACUGAAGAUAUCGAAAUUGAAUUAGUACGUAAUUAUCAAGUCAUAAAUCUAGUUUGUAGUUUGUAUAACAGUUUGUAAAUUUUGGGGGUUUCCCGUCCAAUGUAUAUAAUAAUCUUUUGGUCGAAAAAAUUUGGUAACAUUUAUUUUUUACUAACUUCAACAAUAAUUUAUGUGAGGACACUUCCGCGGAAGAGGAUCACGACGACAGCUUACAACAAUAAAAUUUACUUUAUUAUCAACGGAGGCAACCUUAAAAGUUUAUAAAGUUUAUUUGUCUAAUAAACAAAAAGACAACCAGCAC